AUUGAACGCUGGCGGCAGGCCUAACACAUGCAAGUCGAACGAGUCGCGGGCGGGUGUGUAAUGUCUGGGAAACUGCCUGAUGGGGGGGGAUAACUACUGGAAACUGUCUCUAAUACCGCAUACCCUCGGAUGUGCCCAGAUGGUCUUAUCUUGUAGGUGGUGUAAAGGCUCCCCUAGGCGACGAUCCCUAGCUGGUCUGAGAGGAUGACCAGCCACACUGGAACUGAGACACGGCCCAGACUCCUACGGGAGGCAGCAGUGGGGAAUAUUGCACAAUGGGCGCAAGCCUGAUGCAGCCAUGCCGCGUGUAUGAAGAAGGCCUUCGGGUUGUAAAGUACUUUCAGCGGGGAGGCGUUACCCGCAGAAGAAGCACCGGCUAACUCCGUGCCAGCCGCCGCGGUAAUUC
rnacentral:rRNA from 1 species